rnacentral:rRNA from 1 species
UGCCAGCAGCCGCGGUAAUUCCAGCUCCAAUAGCGUAUAUUAAGUUGUUGCAGUUAAAAGCUCGUAGUUGAAUUUCGGGAUCAGUGCGCCGGUCGUGCCUUCGGUAUGUACUGGUGUUACUGGUUCCUACCUUCUGACGAACCGUCAUGUCAUUAAUUUGGUGUGGUGGGAAUCAGGACUGUUACUUUGAAAAAAUUAGAGUGUUUAAAGCAGGCUCGCGCUUGAAUACAUUAGCAUGGAAUAAUGAAAUAGGACGUUCGAUCCUAUUUUAGUUGGUUUCUAGGGAUUGACGUAAUGAUUAAUAGGGAUAGUUGGGGGCAUUAGUAUUCAAUUGUCAGAGGUGAAAUUCUUGGAUUUAUUGAAGACUAACUACUGCGAAAGCAUUUGCCAAGGAUGUUUUCAUUAAUCAAGAACGAAAGUUAGGGGAUCGAAGACGAUCAGAUACCGUCGUAGUCUUAACCAUAAACUAUGCCGACUAGGGAUCGGAUGAUGUUAAUUUUUUUAAUGACUCAUUCGGCGCCUUACGG